rnacentral:rRNA from 1 species
GAUGAACGCUGACAGAAUGCUUAACACAUGCAAGUCGAUUCGAUUUACCUUCGGGUAUUGAGGAUGGCGGACGGGUGAGUAACGCGUAAGGAACUUGCCUCUUGGUCUGGGACAACUGUUGGAAACGACAGCUAAUACCGGAUAUUAUGAGAUUCUCGCAUGGGAAACUUAUGAAAGCUAUAUGCGCCAAGAGAGAGCCUUGCGUUCCAUUAGCUAGUUGGUGGGGUAACGGCCCACCAAGGCGACGAUGGAUAGCCGGCCUGAGAGGGUGAACGGCCACAAGGGGACUGAGACACGGCCCUUACUCCUACGGGAGGCAGCAGUGGGGAAUAUUGGACAAUGGACCAAAAGUCUGAUCCAGCAAUUCUGUGUGCACGAUGAAGGUCUUCGGAUUGUAAAGUGCUUUCAGUUGGGAAGAAGCAAGUGACGGUACCAACAGAAGAAGCGACGGCUAAAUACGUGCCAGCAGCCGCGGUAAUACGUAUGUCGCAAGCGUUAUCCGGAUUUAUUGGGCGUAAAGCGCGUCUAGGCGGAAAAAUAAGUCUGAUGUUAAAAUGCGGGGCUCAACUCCGUAUUGCGUUGGAAACUGUUUUUCUAGAGUACUGGAGAGGUGGNCGGAACUACAAGUGUAGAGGUGAAAUUCGUAGAUAUUUGUAGGAAUGCCGAUGGAGAAGUCAGCUCACUGGACAGAUACUGACGCUAAAGCGCGAAAGCGUGGGGAGNAAACAGGAUUAGAUACCCUGGUAGUCCACGCCGUAAACNAUGAUCACUAGGUG